UUCGCCAUUCGGCGAUAAAAUUAUUAAUUUGACGACGAAUAAUUUCACACAACGGGUAUACAUAGGAAUACAAUAUAAUAUACAUUUACAUGUAUAUGCCGGCGUCAAGCGUCAAAGUUGGGAAUAAACAAGCACGUGGCAACGAAGAAUAUAUGGACAAAAUAAAUCUAAUAAUAUCUCCGACUACUUCCGCGUUCGCAACGAAGUAUACAAUAUCCGAGUGGGCAUUAGAAGCGUUCGAAUUAAAGUCCACAUCACACCUUUAGGGUGAAACGCACACGAUACGACCUGCCAUCCCUCUCUCCGUUUUCGUUUUCACUCGAGGUAGGUAUAACAUAGCCGACGAAUGCGUUUCGAGCGGAUCAGAGCUGCACGGCGGUAGAGAGAGUCAAGCGCAUCAACGCGGGCUGGACGGACGGCGUCCCAUUGUCUGGUUCUCUCUUCGAUUCUCGCGCGACGGUAGACCUGUUCGGUAUAAGCCUGGUCUCCCCUGAUUUCACCCUGGUUCUCCCGACUCGCCUGAACGAGGGCGAUCCCCGAGAUCGAGUGUUCAGGUUGCGCCGACUGCCGAAACCGACGAAGGGUCCAGCGUUUCAAACUCCGACAAGAACGGUCUCUCGAUUUGCGAGCAUCAUACUUUUCAUGGGCAGUAACGGGUAAAUCCGAACGUUGGCGGUGAUUCGAGGUCUGCGAAACAUGCCUUCCUUUUCGGAUUAAAGCCGGAGAAUCCAUGCGUUUAAUUUCAAGAUUACGUUGGCGGAUGCCGCGGACAUCGGGCCCGUUUGAAUUGUGAGAAAGAUACUUGAACACCGGGUGACUUCCACCGGCGAGUGCAGCAGCGGGAGAUCGAGAGUGCGGGGGCCUUAGGGCCCGGCGAGACCCCCGCAUACCUGAGCGAACAGGUGUGCCAGAGGCCGGUGGAGCGGCUAUAGAAGACUCGAGCCUGUUAACUUUAAGUUUGUUCAGUUUGUCGACGCCCAGAUCAGGGACGCAGCUGGGACGGGAUCACCUUCCAGCACCGUUGCACCUGGUCCUCGGGCAUACAAUAUCACCCUGCACCAAUCGCUCCAUCACGCCCGACCAUAAUACACCGAAACCAUGCAGCGCUGAACGCUGGAAUACUUUUACGACAAAAAUAUAUAAGUAUACGAAAAUUAGAUGCACGAUCUAGAAUCGACAUUAAUAUAAUUAUAAAUAUAAUUGUAACAUAUAAAUAUAAUUACACAUAUUACAUAUAUAAUGUACAUGUAUAUCUUGUUUUCAGAAAGGACGAAGCAGGAAGAAGGUCUCUUGGACUUGAGAGGCUAACUCUUAACAACACAUAAGAGGCCCGAAAGACCGGCGAAAGCUCGCUCUCCGUUUGAUUCUCCUGAUCGAUUUCGUGCGAAUAGCUACAUUCCAGAGACCUUGGAACCGUGGCACACUGGAACCAGUUUCAAAGCAGUUCGUAAAUCGUCCAGGAUUAGGGACGGACGCAUUUUUUCUUGCCGAUUCCCCGGUGCCACGUUCGUUUUAAUUAAGUAGCCUUCUACUCGGAACGUGAGAUAUGAACUAUCGGUGGGUAUAUACAACACAUAGAAAUAUAGCGCAAGUGUAGCGGUAACACAAAGAAGAAACCAAGAACGACGUAAAAAAGAAAAAAAAAAAAAUGGCAACAAAUUUCUUAUUUCAUUCGCUAAAACAUUACGAGCCCUCAUAAUUUUCAUUUGCCUGCAGCAAGCGUGCGAAUAAACAAAAGCAGAGCUAUGAAACAAGGAAUCCUGCCAGACUUUGUCCGCACAAUCUGGUCGAUCGUCCGAGCUGAAAUCGUAAAUAUUUAUCGAUGAGUGACCGCGGUUUCGGAGGCUUCCUCUCGGUCCUAUUCGUCUCUUCGAUCUGUAUAGGCGAUAGGCAGAAGUAUGCGGGAUCGCGGGGGAGGAUCGCGUCGACGAGAAGCGGGGCGCAAGGGGUGA